rnacentral:tRNA from 1 species
UGUAGAGUUGACUAGAGGUUAGUCACCAGGCUCAUUACCUGGAGAUGUGGGUUCGAGUCCUGCCUUUACAC